ACAGAGGAUUUUUUAAAAUCCACAUCAUCAGACAUUUGAAAUUGGU
rfam:Myotis brandtii contig309301, whole genome shotgun sequence.